CGAGCUGGGGUUGCCGUUGCAGGUGGCGACGGGGUGGGGCUCCUGCGCGCGGGGAAAUGAAACGCCGGUGGAAAUGAAACGCCAGUGUUGAGGAACAAAGCGCGGCGCAGCCAGCCCGGUGACGGCAUGACGACGCUAGGGGUGCGAGAGGUCAUAUCGUUGAGAUUCGUACAGCAAACCAAGCCAAGCGCCGAGCCUUGAGUUAGAACUUACCUGCAGUUCAACCUCAAUGGGAUUAUAUCGCAGGCUGCCCGUGGAAGCGUGCGCAGCAUUCGCAGCGUUUGCAAAGUUUGCAGCUGUUGCACCAAUAGCUGCGCCCACGUCGCGUGCUCCGCUGCGAGCUGCUUGCGCAGGUCCAUGGGCUUGGGACGCCCUCGACGGCCCGGCAGCACUUCCGGCAUCCGUGCCAAGAACACGGCCGAACCAGCGUCUCAACCAUCCGCCGCCCUCCUCGCCAUGCAUGCCUCCGCGUGAGAGACUGCGAAGCCUUUUCCGCUGGCGCCUUCCUCACCUAGUGGAUUCCUGCACCGAC
rnacentral:lncRNA from 1 species